rnacentral:rRNA from 1 species
GAUGAACGCUGGCGGCGUGCUUAACACAUGCAAGUCGAACGAAGCACUUUAUUUGAUUUCCUUCGGGACUGAUUAUUUUGUGACUGAGUGGCGGACGGGUGAGUAACGCGGGGGUAACCUGCCUUGUACAGGGGGAUAACAGUUGGAAACGGCUGCUAAUACCGCAUAAGCGCACAGCAUCGCAUGAUGCAGUGUGAAAAACUCCGGUGGUAUAAGAUGGACCCGCGUUGGAUUCGCUAGUUGGUGAGGUAACGGCCCACCAAGGCGACGAUCCAUAGCCGAGAUGAGAGGGUGACCGGCCACAUUGGGACUGAGAAACGGCCCAAACUCCUACGGGAGGCAGCAGUGGGGAAUAUUGCACAAUGGGCGAAAGCAUGAUGCAGCGACGCCGCGUGAGCGAAGAAGUAUUUCGGUAUGUAAAGCUCUAUCAGCAGGGAAGAUAAUGACGGUACCUGAAUAAGAAGCACCGGCUAAAUACGUG